CUGUAUUUGCAGUUGGCCUCAAGAACCAGUGAAAAGGGUGGCCUCAGGGGUAACUGAAAAUGCGACCACAGAGCAGAACGGGCACAAUGAACGCUUCCAAUGGGGCUUCCUCUGUGUUGAAUUGAUGCACCAGAGGCAGCAGACAUAUCUGCAUUUUAGGGUGCUGGAGGUCAGCUGAGGAGGAGUCCCCUUAAAGAAGAGUGUGUGUGCCAGGAGCUGGGUAGGUGUGUGGGUAUAUAUCUAGCCACCA
rnacentral:lncRNA from 1 species